GCGGCGGACGGGUGAGUAACACGUGGAUAACCUACCUAUAAGACUGGGAUAACUUCGGGAAACCGGAGCUAAUACCGGAUAAUAUUUUGAACCGCAUGGUUCAAAAGUGAAAGACGGUCUUGCUGUCACUUAUAGAUGGAUCCGCGCUGCAUUAGCUAGUUGGUAAGGUAACGGCUUACCAAGGCAACGAUGCAUAGCCGACCUGAGAGGGUGAUCGGCCACACUGGAACUGAGACACGGUCCAGACUCCUACGGGAGGCAGCAGUAGGGAAUCUUCCGCAAUGGGCGAAAGCCUGACGGAGCAACGCCGCGUGAGUGAUGAAGGUCUUCGGAUCGUAAAACUCUGUUAUUAGGGAAGAACAUAUGUGUAAGUAACUGUGCACAUCUUGACGGUACCUAAUCAGAAAGCCACGGCUAACUACGUGCCAGCAGCCGCGGUAAUACGUAGGUGGCAAGCGUUAUCCGGAAUUAUUGGGCGUAAAGCGCGCGUAGGCGGUUUUUUAAGUCUGAUGUGAAAGCCCACGGCUCAACCGUGGAGGGUCAUUGGAAACUGGAAAACUUGAGUGCAGAAGAGGAAAGUGGAAUUCCAUGUGUAGCGGUGAAAUGCGCAGAGAUAUGGAGGAACACCAGUGGCGAAGGCGACUUUCUGGUCUGUAACUGACGCUGAUGUGCGAAAGCGUGGGGAUCAAACAGGAUUAGAUACCCUGGUAGUCCACGCCGUAAACGAUGAGUGCUAAGUGUUAGGGGGUUUCCGCCCCUUAGUGCUGCAGCUAACGCAUUAAGCACUCCGCCUGGGGAGUACGACCGCAAGGUUGAAACUCAAAGGAAUUGACGGGGACCCGCACAAGCGGUGGAGCAUGUGGUUUAAUUCGAAGCAACGCGAAGAACCUUACCAAAUCUUGACAUCCUUUGACAACUCUAGAGAUAGAGCUUUCCCCUUCGGGGGACAAAGUGACAGGUGGUGCAUGGUUGUCGUCAGCUCGUGUCGUGAGAUGUUGGGUUAAGUCCCGCAACGAGCGCAACCCUUAAGCUUAGUUGCCAUCAUUAAGUUGGGCACUCUAAGUUGACUGCCGGUGACAAACCGGAGGAAGGUGGGGAUGACGUCAAAUCAUCAUGCCCCUUAUGAUUUGGGCUACACACGUGCUACAAUGGACAAUACAAAGGGCAGCGAAACCGCGAGGUCAAGCAAAUCCCAUAAAGUUGUUCUCAGUUCGGAUUGUAGUCUGCAACUCGACUACAUGAAGCUGGAAUCGCUAGUAAUCGUAGAUCAGCAUGCUACGGUGAAUACGUUCCCGGGUCUUGUACACACCGCCCGUCACACCACGAGAGUUUGUAACACCCGAAGCCGGUGGAGUAACCUUUUAGGAGCUAGCCGUCGAAGGUGGGACAAAUGAUUGGGGUGAAGUCGUAACAAGGUAGCCGUAUCGGAAGGUGCGGCUGGAUCACCUCCUUUCUAAGGA
rnacentral:rRNA from 1 species